UUGACAACACUAUAUGCAGUGGUCACAACAUUAUGCGUGUUUCGUUGAUGAAGGUGAUGAUUAGUGAUGGUGAUGGUGAUGAUUGAUGUAUAUGAUGGUGCUGGUUCAGAUUCGGUAAACUCCAUGAUUUAUUUUAACGGAAAUUGCCGAAUCCAGACAAAAUUGAUAAUGUCCCGCAAACAAAAUGAAACAGUUAUUGAAUUCGAGUAAUUUAGGCAAUUUUAUCUUAAACAUUUUUAGAAAAAAAAAUAACGCCUACUAUUGUCUGAAAUUGGACAGACAUUAACUUAUUUAUUUAGGGGUAGUUCAUUCCACGCC
rnacentral:lncRNA from 1 species